GGCAUAGCGACGUAACCACGUCAUUUCGGCCGUAGGGCCACCGUUUGACCAACGUGCAUUAUCCCCCGAUGGCCACCGUUGGCUUAUAGCCAAUUGCCAACUUAUAAUUAAGGUAGCCAAAUUGUAUUAAUUUGCCUUUACCAAAUAAUUUCAAUUUCCUUUUAAUUAAACCUAGCAACAAGAGUUUUGAGUUCAAAAACCAUUCAAACAUCAUGGAAUUAAACCAGAAAGUGUUAACAUUUAUUAAAUACUUGUCAUGAUAAUAAUAAUAAUAAUAAUAAUAAGAAGAAGAAUAAAUUAAUUAAAAAUGAAUUAAAAUCCGAGUCGGUGUGCAGGCGGAAGGCGGGUCACUCCAGGCUGCUGCAGUCGUCGUCGCUGUCGCUGCUAGUUGUAUCAUCCAGGAUGACAGGUGAAGGACUCGGAGGAGGAAGACUGAACUGCUGGGGACCUGGAAUGUAGAAGAUCAUCGUUAAGCGUACAAUUUGGUGACAUGGGUAAAGCUCCAUCAAACUGUAAAAGGUUCAGCACAUCCCUCUUGCCCCUCAAACGCUUCAAGAGAAAGCUAUGCAAGUCUCAUUUCCACGCGAAGUGGUUGGUGAGGAUGUGGCGAAGGAUUCUUCGAACCGCGUCACCAGGAUUGCAGCCCCCAAGCGCACUAAGGUGUGCUGCCUGCAGGGUGCUCCUGGUUUGGGCUUUUUUCAGGUUCAUACGCGCUGCAUCAUAAUUGGCUGUUGAAGACAACAAUGAAGUGAGUAAAGCUUUUAAAGCCUAAGGGGAGAAAAGUGGUACAUCCUACUUUUGUCUGUCUCACCAAAGGUUUUCACCACCUCCACAAAAAACUCUCCCCAGGUCUCAUCUGGCAUAGCGCUUUGGAUGACUGCAACUUUCGUCCGCUUGGUGUCUUUAUACGGUGGCCAAAAAGACACCUUGCCAUCCAAACUUAACCACGAGCAAGGCACAACCUCCACCUCGUUUGACUCGGUUCCCAACCACAGCUGUCCCCAGUGCAGUUGAAUCAACAGGGUGGUUGAAAAAUGGACGUUGGUCUAAAUAUUGCCUCGCCACAAAAGACGUACCACCAAGUGUCCUGCUAAUUGCCUCUAUCUUAAAAGUGGCACCACCACACGAAACUGUGUUGUUCCCAUCCUUUGUGGACAGGGUAAAUCUAUCAGUGGCGUACUGUGUUGUUGAGGGUGAACUUUGGUUAUGGGAAGAUGGACAGACUGGGUUGAUGCUUGAUUUUUCCGUUAAUCGUUUAACAAUUUGUUGUAAUGUCUGGUUUGGCUUUCUAAUUUGUUUCUUUAAUUUAUACAAGAAAUUUUCGAAGGGAAAGGCUGAAAUUUGGGGUAGUGGGCCAUAUUUUCUAACAUCACUUGCCAGGUGGAUCAAGCUGUGGACGUUAUACACCAGAAAGUCCCCAUAGAUGGCGUGAAAAUUCUGAACGAACACUACCAGGAGAUUUUCCGCAUAGUCACAAUAACGGUGGUGGAGACGGGGGAACAUAAAAUUGUUAUUGCUACGUGGAGUAACAGAAAAUGUUGAUACAUGUGUUUUGGUAGUUUUUUUUUUAAUGCAAUGGGGCCAGUGUAGAGUAAAAAAGUCCUAAAUUCAGUGGCCUUCCACCGAUCAACCUCACGGAGGGACCUUCCCUUGCGUCCAAACUCCUUUGGCAGCCUCUUGCCCAAUUUGAUUAAGUUCUCCGAAAUAAUGCAGAUGGAUUAACUCCCAAUGCGGGUUGGAAGGGGCCCUCUCUGCCACAGCCAGAUCAACUUUCUCAUCACUCCUAGGCAUACCAGGUGCAUAAAGUCCAGCACAAAUUGGGUCACCAAGCCUACAUCUAGGUGUUGUAAUGGACUGUCGCCCUCUUUGUGAUGUUCCUGGUUGACUUUUGUGGCAAAACUGUCAUCGGUUCUGAGAACCGCAUCUGUUUCGGAGUAAUUUAGGCGUUGGUUCGCCCAUGAGCCCUCUUGCAUGCACCUUUCGCAGCCGUAAUAGGAAUUGUGUGCUUUUAUGUUUUUUAGAAAUGCCCUUGCCGGUGCAUCACAGACAAAACAGGAAAUUUCGAUUUUAUUUUUUUUUGACUGAUACUCCAAGCCAUCAGAUGCAAGCUUCCCCAUCUCUGCCACAAAGUCAGAGAGGUACUCGCUUGCAUCGGUUGGCUUGGAGUAUCCACAAUAUAAACCAAUUAGAAAUGGGGAUCUAAUGGGGUCCUCUUCAAUUAGUGCAAGAAUUGGCCAAAAUUGCUGGCUGCUGCUUUUAAAAAGGGGCAGGCCAUCCACAUUUAUUUGUAGUUUUAGUGUUUGGUUUUUAGCUAAGUCCUGUUCUUGCAUUCGGCCCAAGAUCCCUUUUGCCACACCAAAAUAGUGCAUGUUCCCCCCAGCUUUUGGUACUAUCUCCGCAUAAGUAGGGGUUGACAGGAGAGUGCGGCUGUCUUUUGGCAGUUUGGAAUCUGGGAAGUGCUUGCGAAGCACGGAGAGCAGGCUGGAAAUGUGGGAAAUUGGUGUAUUUGUUGUGAUUGCCCAUUCCUUGAGCUCAUGUCUUAAGUCCCUUUGAAAACUGCCCCCCUCCUCUGAAUCUGAGCCACUGCUAGAGCUCGACA